UGGGUUGUGGCUCAGCAGUAGAGCUCUUGCCUAGCAUGUGUGAGGUCCUGGGUUCGAUCCUCAGCACCACAU
rfam:Ictidomys tridecemlineatus contig061139, whole genome shotgun sequence.